rnacentral:lncRNA from 1 species
AGAACGUAAAACAGAAAGAAAAGGAAAACAGAAAGGAAAGGGAGAGAAAAUGGUGAGAUAGAAAGAAGAAAAGAGUGAGAGAAAGAAGAAGAGAAGGAGAAAAGAAGAAGAGAGAAAACAACCAAGACAUUAACAACCCAAGAAAAGAGAAAGGAAAAGUGCAUUUUGCUAGAAGUCUCUGUAGAAGGAGUUGAGGGUACCGUCAUUUUCUCCAUUUUUGGAAAUC